UGAAUUUUUUCAUGCUAAAUAUAUCUCAAAAAUUAUAUAUCCUAAAUAAAUUAAUAAAAUACGUAAAAUGUACUUAACAUUAUUUUUUAACACACAAAUAUUACAAAAAUCUUAAAUUAAUAAUAAAAAUUACCUUAUUUUCUUUUUUUUCCUUCCUUCCUUCCCUCUUCUUCUUCUUUCUUUUUUUUUUCUCUUCUCCUUUCCUUUUCUUUCCUUAUUUUUCUUUCUUUCCUCCCCUUUCCUUUUCUUUCCUUCUUUUUCUUUCUUUCCUCUCCUUUCCUUUUCCUUCUUUUUCUUUCUUCCUUUCUUUCUUCUUCUUCCCCUCUCCUUCUUCCCCCCACCAACCGACCACCCUUAAAUUCAAGGGUGGUGCCGCCAACAGGGUUGCCUCAACUGGUGCCGCCAACCUGCUUCCCUCCACCCAGGGAGUUAUCAAAUCAGUUCAGGUUUUUUUUUUCGUUUUUU
rnacentral:lncRNA from 1 species